GGGGAGGAGGGCCAAGACGUGGCCUUAGCGCGAAGAGGCGGACCAGGGAGGUGGGCGGGGCCGGGAGGAGGAACUGGGCUGCGCGGGGAGGAAGACCGAGUCCGGGGCUGGGCCUGUGGGGAGGCCUGGAAACCGGAAGUUGCUUCGCCGCGCGCGUCCGAGGGCUAGUUGGCUGCAAACAAAGCUAACGGCUGGGGUUUGUAUCUCGGGGUCGCUUAGGGCGGCUCCAUCCCCAACCCAAGCUGAGGUCCCGAGCUUUGUGGGUCCUUCCGGCCAAGGGCGCGUCCUGCUGAUCCCUCCCCCAGGUCUGUGGAGCGGACUCCUGGAGCAUACCCACUCCCGCGCUCCUGCAGCGUCUGCCAUUUAGAAAAACGCUUCUAAGUCCCGGAUAUCCCUCUGGACUUGAGCCUUCAGGGAAGUCCAACUGGCUGUCCUUGUUCCCCAGCCUGCUGCCGCCUCCCCAGUGACUUUGUGCGUCAGGGUCGUGGAGAAACAGCGAGUUCCCACUUGGAGAUGUGACAGAGGAAAGGAAGGCUUUUGGUGACACGCAGAAAUCCCUGCCUCUAAAUGAGGAGAGUUUCGUUUUUAUCCCCUAAACUGAGGGCUUUCCAAUAAGAGGAACGUUUCUGACCCGCUGUACUCUAGGAACCCAUUUAUGCAUACUCAGAACGUACUAAAUUGUAAGGCUGAGUAAGCCCUCCGAGAGGAGGCUUCGUAGCCUAAAGACAAGUCUCUUUAGGUUCAGGAAAAAGGAAUUCAAACAAUGAUUGCCACCCAACUUUAUAGUAGCCAGGAAUGUGUCGUGCGGGAGACCAGUGUGAAGGACACCACUUGAAAAACUGCUGAGAAAGAAUAGAAACACAUCAACAGUGCAGAUAGAGAAGGGAAGCUUUGUGAAACAACAGAAUCUCUGUAGUGUUGGAGAAAAUUCUGAACUCUCUUCAGUCCCUGAUUUUGGCCAACCUGAACUACUUCCAGCUGUAAUGCAUACUAGCAGAGAUAAAAGAAUAAAAAUCUGCUCGAUCAGUAUCACAUUAUUCUGAACACUCAGGGAAAUCAAUAUGAGGACUGAGAGAACAAACUGCACAACUAGAGGAAGAAAAGAGGCCACAUCGAGGAGAAUUAUGUCCCUGGUCGCCACAAACCACUAAGAACUGUUAUAUGGGCCACAAGAAAAAGGAGUGACUCCUUCUUAUGACUCCAAAUAAUGCUACUACAUGGUUCUGCAGACACUGACAGCCCCAGGAAUAGUCACAGCACCACUGACUUGGUCUUCCCAUCUCUCUACCAGGAGCCUUUUCAACUCUGAGUAAUGGCUCCCACAAUUCAGUUUUUCUCUGUGUCUUGUAAAAAGGGUGCUGAAAACUACCUCUCUAAUGAAUAGCUAUACUUUUAUAAUAAUGUUUCCUGACAAAUAAUACGUGCUACAUGGCAUAGAAGGGGUUGACUCUACAUUUUCAAACCUCAGGCUUUGGGAAAAUACCUUCAACUUCAAGAAUCACUUCCAGGGUGUUUGGGUGGCUCUGUUGGUUAAACGUUUGCCUUCAGCUCAGGUCCU